AGCGUACACGGUGGAUGCCCUGGCAGUCAGAGGCGAUGAAGGACGUGCUAAUCUGCGAUAAGCGUCGGUAAGGUGAUAUGAACCGUUAUAACCGGCGAUUUCCGAAUGGGGAAACCCAGUGUGAUUCGUCACACUAUCAUUAACUGAAUCCAUAGGUUAAUGAGGCGAACCGGGGGAACUGAAACAUCUAAGUACCCCGAGGAAAAGAAAUCAACCGAGAUUCCCCCAGUAGCGGCGAGCGAACGGGGAGGAGCCCAGAGCCUGAAUCAGUGUGUGUGUUAGUGGAAGCGUCUGGAAAGGCGCGCGAUACAGGGUGACAGCCCCGUACACAAAAAUGCACAUACUGUGAGCUCGAUGAGUAGGGCGGGACACGUGGUAUCCUGUCUGAAUAUGGGGGGACCAUCCUCCAAGGCUAAAUACUCCUGACUGACCGAUAGUGAACCAGUACCGUGAGGGAAAGGCGAAAAGAACCCCGGCGAGGGGAGUGAAAAAGAACCUGAAACCGUGUACGUACAAGCAGUGGGAGCCUCUUUAUGGGGUGACUGCGUACCUUUUGUAUAAUGGGUCAGCGACUUAUAUUCUGUAGCAAGGUUAACCGAAUAGGGGAGCCGAAGGGAAACCGAGUCUUAACUGGGCGUUAAGUUGCAGGGUAUAGACCCGAAACCCGGUGAUCUAGCCAUGGGCAGGUUGAAGGUUGGGUAACACUAACUGGAGGACCGAACCGACUAAUGUUGAAAAAUUAGCGGAUGACUUGUGGCUGGGGGUGAAAGGCCAAUCAAACCGGGAGAUAGCUGGUUCUCCCCGAAAGCUAUUUAGGUAGCGCCUCGUGAAUUCAUCUCCGGGGGUAGAGCACUGUUUCGGCAAGGGGGUCAUCCCGACUUACCAACCCGAUGCAAACUGCGAAUACCGGAGAAUGUUAUCACGGGAGACACACGGCGGGUGCUAACGUCCGUCGUGAAGAGGGAAACAACCCAGACCGCCAGCUAAGGUCCCAAAGUCAUGGUUAAGUGGGAAACGAUGUGGGAAGGCCCAGACAGCCAGGAUGUUGGCUUAGAAGCAGCCAUCAUUUAAAGAAAGCGUAAUAGCUCACUGGUCGAGUCGGCCUGCGCGGAAGAUGUAACGGGGCUAAACCAUGCACCGAAGCUGCGGCAGCGACACUAUGUGUUGUUGGGUAGGGGAGCGUUCUGUAAGCCUGUGAAGGUGGCCUGUGAGGGUUGCUGGAGGUAUCAGAAGUGCGAAUGCUGACAUAAGUAACGAUAAAGCGGGUGAAAAGCCCGCUCGCCGGAAGACCAAGGGUUCCUGUCCAACGUUAAUCGGGGCAGGGUGAGUCGACCCCUAAGGCGAGGCCGAAAGGCGUAGUCGAUGGGAAACAGGUUAAUAUUCCUGUACUUGGUGUUACUGCGAAGGGGGGACGGAGAAGGCUAUGUUGGCCGGGCGACGGUUGUCCCGGUUUAAGCGUGUAGGCUGAUUUUCCAGGCAAAUCCGGAAAAUCAAGGCUGAGGCGUGAUGACGAGGCACUACGGUGCUGAAGCAACAAAUGCCCUGCUUCCAGGAAAAGCCUCUAAGCAUCAGGUAACAUCAAAUCGUACCCCAAACCGACACAGGUGGUCAGGUAGAGAAUACCAAGGCGCUUGAGAGAACUCGGGUGAAGGAACUAGGCAAAAUGGUGCCGUAACUUCGGGAGAAGGCACGCUGAUAUGUAGGUGAAGCGACUUGCUCGUGGAGCUGAAAUCAGUCGAAGAUACCAGCUGGCUGCAACUGUUUAUUAAAAACACAGCACUGUGCAAACACGAAAGUGGACGUAUACGGUGUGACGCCUGCCCGGUGCCGGAAGGUUAAUUGAUGGGGUUAGCGGUAACGCGAAGCUCUUGAUCGAAGCCCCGGUAAACGGCGGCCGUAACUAUAACGGUCCUAAGGUAGCGAAAUUCCUUGUCGGGUAAGUUCCGACCUGCACGAAUGGCGUAAUGAUGGCCAGGCUGUCUCCACCCGAGACUCAGUGAAAUUGAACUCGCUGUGAAGAUGCAGUGUACCCGCGGCAAGACGGAAAGACCCCGUGAACCUUUACUAUAGCUUGACACUGAACAUUGAGCCUUGAUGUGUAGGAUAGGUGGGAGGCUUUGAAGUGUGGACGCCAGUCUGCAUGGAGCCGACCUUGAAAUACCACCCUUUAAUGUUUGAUGUUCUAACGUUGACCCGUGAUCCGGGUUGCGGACAGUGUCUGGUGGGUAGUUUGACUGGGGCGGUCUCCUCCUAAAGAGUAACGGAGGAGCACGAAGGUUGGCUAAUCCUGGUCGGACAUCAGGAGGUUAGUGCAAUGGCAUAAGCCAGCUUGACUGCGAGCGUGACGGCGCGAGCAGGUGCGAAAGCAGGUCAUAGUGAUCCGGUGGUUCUGAAUGGAAGGGCCAUCGCUCAACGGAUAAAAGGUACUCCGGGGAUAACAGGCUGAUACCGCC
rnacentral:rRNA from 1 species